rnacentral:rRNA from 1 species
AGUGAACGCUGGCGGUAGGCCUAACACAUGCCAGUCGAACGGCAGCACAGUAAGAGCUUGCUCUUACGGGUGGCGAGUGGCGGACGGGUGAGGAAUACAUCGGAAUCUACUUUUUCGUGGGGGAUAACGUAGGGAAACUUACGCUAAUACCGCAUACGACCUACGGGUGAAAGCAGGGGAUCUUCGGACCUUGCGCGAUUGAAUGAGCCGAUGUCGGAUUAGCUAGUUGGCGGGGUAAAGGCCCACCAAGGCGACGAUCCGUAGCUGGUCUGAGAGGAUGAUCAGCCACACUGGAACUGAGAAACGGUCCAGACUCCUACGGGAGGCAGCAGUGGGGAAUAUUGGACAAUGGGCGCAAGCCUGAUCCAACCAUACCGCGUGGGUGAAGAAGGCCUUCGGGCUGUAAAGCCCUUUUGUUGGGAAAGAAAAGCAGCAGGUUAAUACCCCGCUGUUCUGACGGUACCCAAAGAAUAAGCACCGGCUAACUUCGU